CCUACGGGUGGCAGCAGUGGGGGAUAUUGCACAAUGGGGGAAACCCUGAUGCAGCGACGCCGCGUGGGUGAAGAAGCGCCUCGGCGCGUAAAGCCCUGUCAGCAGGGAAGAAAAUGACGGUACCUGAAGAAGAAGCCCCGGCUAACUACGUGCCAGCAGCCGCGGUAAUACGUAGGGGGCAAGCGUUAUCCGGAUUUACUGGGUGUAAAGGGGGCGCAGACGGCGAUGCAGGCCAGGAGUGAAAGCCCGGGGCCCAACCCCGGGACUGCUCUUGGAACAGCGUGGCGAGAGUGCAGGAGGGGCAGGCGGAAGUCCUGGGGUAGCGGUGAAAUGCGUAGAUAUCAGGAGGAACACCGGUGGCGAAGGCGGCCUGCUGGACUGCAACUGACGUUGAGGCCCGAAAGCGUGGGGAGCAAACAGGAUUAGAUACCCGAGUAGUC
rnacentral:rRNA from 1 species